GCGUGGGACAGUCUCUCGUUUAGCAGUUUCUCCAUGCACUCUCAGCACAGACAGACCGGUGGAAAUACUACAGUGCGCGCACAAACACACGCACUCUAGUCUACACACAUUCCACAGACACUUGCAGACGCUUGUGUAACGCGGACUCCACUAGAUACCGUAGCAGCUGGUGCUGCGAACUCAAGUCAACAAGAGGAAACAUCCACGAGUCGUGACAUCCUCGGAGUCGGCUCCGUUUACACAUCCGUACUCCACUCGCAUACUCAGACAGACAAGGACUCUUUCGGGACAGCUUCAGUGUUACUGUCUACCUUUGCGAAAUUUCUAUAAACCAAGAAGGAUUGAAACACAGAUUUUGAUAUCAUUUUUCAGUGCGUGUUGGAGCGCCUAUAUAUUAUCUUUGUGGCAUGUUGUAGCGCACCGCCAGAGGAAGACAGCGACCAUACACAUGCUGGCUGGACACCGGUCCCUAGGUCAAGUUCAGUCUCUGACCCCCACCCCUCACCUUUGACCCCUCACCUCGGAUGGAAGAACGCACCCAUUCCUUUAGGAGGUUGAAGUUGAUGAGUUCCCCCAGCCUCAGUGACCUGGGGAAGAGUGACAAGGCAGCGUUGGAGGAGAGAGGGACACAGCAGAGAAAAGCUGGGGCUAACGCCACCUGGAACAGCAUCCACAAUGCGGUGAUAGCUGUGUUCCAGAGGAAAGACCUGGGAGAGAAUGACCUCUACAUCCUCAAUGAGGGAGUCAGGUGACAUACUGUAUAACCUCUGACCUGUACCUAUACACUUCUAUUGCUCUCUGUCUCUCUCUCCCUCUCUCUCUGUUUCUUUCGCUCCCUGUCGCUCUCUCUGUUUUUCUCUC